AUUGAACGCUGGCGGCAGGCUUAACACAUGCAAGUCGAGCGGAGAUGAGGUGCUUGCACCUUAUCUUAGCGGCGGACGGGUGAGUAAUGCUUAGGAAUCUGCCUAUUAGUGGGGGACAACAUUCCGAAAGGAAUGCUAAUACCGCAUACGCCCUACGGGGGAAAGCAGGGGAUCUUCGGACCUUGCGCUAAUAGAUGAGCCUAAGUCGGAUUAGCUAGUUGGUGGGGUAAAGGCCUACCAAGGCGACGAUCUGUAGCGGGGCUGAGAGGAUGGUCCGCCACACUGGGACUGAGACACGGCCCAGACGCCUUCGGGAGGAAGCGGUUGGGAAUAUUGGACAAUGGGCGGAAGCCUGAUCCAGCCAUGCCGCGUGUGUGAAGAAGGCCUUUUGGUUGUAAAGCACUUUAAGCGAGGAGGAGGCUACCUGGAUUAAUACUCUAGGAUAGUGGACGUUACUCGCAGAAUAAGCACCGGCUAACUCUGUGCCAGCAGCCGCCGUAAAAC
rnacentral:rRNA from 1 species